rnacentral:lncRNA from 1 species
ACUCCGCACUCUUAGGCUGCGUGUGAGGCCUGCGAGUGCUCGGGAGCUGCCGCGGUCACAAGAGAAAGCCUAGCUGUCAAUGACAGCCCCAGAGCAUCUGGGCGCCUUGCGAUACCCGGGUGUCUGUAGGCAGCCAGGAGACACUUCCAAGCUGAUCUGGAAUCUUUCCUCGCCCAGCUCUGUCCCUCGCAGGGAUGGCAAAGGACAUUACGACCUACAUCCCUUCCCGGAUCUGAUGGCUUCAGAUUGGCAGAUUGUGUUAAAGUGGAAGAUAUGAUGGCUGUAGAUCCAGAGUCUCGUGAAGAUGAGGUCAACUGACUGGACUGUGCUUCCUGUGAUAUAAUAUGCUAAGUCCUAUGCUAAGACCAGCCUGAGCAACAUACUGAGACCAUCUAUAAAAAAACAAACACAAAAAAACUCUUAAUAGUAAGUAGACACCACAUUCUUCUGUGUCUAGAUAGUUGAGUGGACAACUUGAGCUACCAUAAUGGGCAAUUUCAUCAAAGUAAACCAAUUAUGUAGUCAAAAAGCUGUAUCAAUAAUGUAGCCAGAAGAGAGGAUAUGACUGGUUACACUGGAAACCUAGAAUGAACAAAGUCAGUCAGAGAGUUUGGUUACGUGGAUGGUCAAUUUCUUCUUUUUAAGUAAAUAUUAAUGUUUAUUAGGUUUUUUUGAGAC